UGUUGAUAUGAUUAUUGCUAACUGGCUUAAGCAAUGUUUAGUGAAAAACGUUGCUUGAGCCGGUUAGCAAUAAUCAUAUCAACA